CAGAUUAUCCUAAAUGAGAGACACCCUACAUCGGCCACCAUGCCCCAUCUCUCACUUCCGCCGUCCCCCUACCCUCAGCAGCUAGGAUUCCCACCGUUGCCGUCCCCUUGCCCCGCCUCCCCCUGUUCCUUCGUCGAGCCCGCCUCCGUUGCCACUUUCUCCGCGCGUCGGGGAUGCAUACUGCAUCUCCGCCAUCCUCCUCGCGUCCGGGAUGCACACGGCGUCGUGGCUAUCCUCCUCGCGUUGGGUAAGGUGCGGCCGCCACCAUUCCUCCGCAUAGCCAGGGACGGCGCAAGCACCGACGCCCCCGUCCUCAACUGCAUCAGUUCAGCAGAUAGAUUUGGUGUAGUGAUAUAAGUACUGCUACAUGAGGCGAAAAGAGCUUGCAAGACAAUGCAGAUAAAUUGACGUUGCAUGGCUCAGAUGUUGAUUGCAAGGUUAAGAAUGAGGCUACUACAAGAUAAUAAGAAUGUCAUUUCAGGAUCAAAAAAUUUAGAAUGACAUUUUUAGGGUCAAUAUUUCAAACAUUGAUAGAUAGUUUCACCUCUUGUAAUCUUUGGAUCAUGUUCUUUAUAAUACACUAU